GGAAAGGGCCACAGCUCAGUGGUAGAGCAUCUGCUCUGCAUGCAGAUGGUCCCAGGUUCAAUCCCUGGCCUCUCCA